AAGAGACACUGGGACACAGAUGGAGACAGUCAUAGCAAGAGUGACAGUGCUUUUCACCCACGGUCCCACCCACGAGGUUUUCUUGCACUCUUGCCAGAGAUCUUUGUAUUAGGCUCCCCAGACAUACCUUAGCCCUUUCAGGCUGUUUUUGUGGAAAUAAACAAAGACGAACCACAUGAGGAAAAACAUGCUGUUUAUUCUGGGCUUGUUAGAGCAAGAGAGGCAGUGAUGGUUGCUUGCAUUUGGCAGAGAUUGAAAAGCAGGCAGAGGAUGGGACAGCUUCACAGAGGAAAAGGGGAAGGCUCCAGGGGUGCCCUGACUGGAGGCUGCCGGCCUCAGGAAACUAGAGGUGUGUUAACUAGAACCAGAAGACCUAUGCCAUUGGGUUAGGGGUGCGUAUGUGGCUUUCUCUGGUUGGUCUAAGUUGGAAGUGAGGUAAAACAGUACAGAAGCUGUCAGUUAUGAACUAAGACCUGGCCAUUUGGGGUAGGUUAGCUUCUUGCAUUGUUUCUAGAGAUAGCACUCUGGCUUCCUGCAAGGCUGAGUUGCAGCAGGCCGGUUUCCUGGGCUAUUUACUGCAGAUAGGGGGUUGGUUCCCUGUAGAUGGGGGGUAGGAGGGCAGGUUGCCAUGUGUUGUGGGUCAGAGUCUAUUUUUUACAUAUGUUUGGCCGUUGCUUGUAUGUAUAUUCAGUCUCUUAUUUGUUUAUUUAUUUUAACAAUUUAUUUUAAAACAGACCUCUUUCUUCCUUGCAGAGGACAGCUGACUGUCCCCUUCCACUGUCAUAUUAAAAAGCUGCCCACCCUGCUGACCAUAAACCUGUCCCUGAGGUUGAAUCCCAGGAAAUUCAAUGCCCUCCCUGCCUGGGAGCAAGUCUCCUUGUCCUUCUUGGGAACCUCUCUCAGAAAGAUUUGGCAGUAAAAUUUAUCUCAUCAGUUUUAAUCUCAUUGGUCCUCAAAAACUUUUUUCUAUUUCUGUUUCUCCUGGGGGCUGUGGCAUCCUCAUGCAAGCUGGUCUGUUGGUGGCUGCUCACUGUGGCCGCUCCUGGGUGGCCAGGCAGGGCAGGCCUCCCAUUGUGUUGCAUUUAAAAAAAAAAAAAGAAGAGAGGAAUUAAUGUAAAGAGCUGUGCUAACAAGUGGGUAGUACUAUUGGGUGUGUAUAAAUUCAUGCAUAUUUUUCUUUUUAAGCCUAUUGGUUUAUUCUGUUUUUAAAUCAGAAAUGGAUCCAGUCAAAAAGAAAAAAAUAAAAUAGUUUGCAUUUCCUUCUCAUGCUCCCCUUUUAGCGGCUCAAGGCUAAUGACAGAAAACCCCCCAACCCAUUUAGCAUUCUCUGUGUUUAAAAGACUCUCAAGUAUUAGCUCUUGGGAAGCCCAGCAUUUUAAAACUUGCAAAAUAGGCAGGCAGGGCAAGAUGCCAUGUUUCCAACUCCCUGGGACUCAUUUCAGGAGUUUGAUUAACUCUUUGGUUCAAAGUAUCUGCUUUGAAGAAGAGGUAGGGGGCAUUCAAAUGAGGGAUGCUGUCUGCCAAGAUCAAAGCGGCAUUGCACAUUUUAAAGAGUCUAAUUCACAGACCCUUGGAUAGUUGUAGCACCAACUUGAAGCCUAUUUGGUCAGAAGUGGCCACUUGAGCAGUCUUGGGGGUGGGCGAGGGCUUCUUUGUUUUGGAAAGUGCUUCCCACCCAGAGGAAGGAAUGUGAAGUGAGGGAGCCCUCUUUUGGACAAAAGCUAAGGAGGAAAGUCAGGGACAGUGGGAAAGACCCAGUCAAGGCUGGGGAAGAACACAUAAGCUAAGGACUCUUGGUUUGCCUUAUAUUGGCAGGUAGCUCCUCAGGAGAAAUAGUCUGAAUUCAGAUCAUGGGAAAGCCAACGUGCAUUUUUAAGACAGAAGGUAAAGGGUAUACUGCCUACAGGGAAAAAUCUUCCAAAUAUAUCUAGACUAUAGGUUACAGGGUUAGAAUUUUUUUCUUCUUGUUUGUUUGGCUAAGAUGAGGAACUUUAAAGGUGGGAAUAGGGUUGGUGGAGGUGUGUGUGUGUGUGCGUGUGUGUGUGUGUGUGUGUGUGUGUGUGUGUGUGUGUGUGUGUGUAUGUGUAUGUGUUUUAGGGAGCUGGCAUCAGGUACUGUCUUCUGUUGGGGCAUGAACAUAGGAAUGCCAUUCAAAUGUAUCCCAUUGUGGUCCUGGAUCCACUUUCUUUGCUUUCCUCAAGACCAACUGGCACAGGUGAUCCAAGUGGAGAUAACCAUGACUGUUUUGAGUACUAACUUUGAUGAGUGUGGUCAGUGGCUUCUGAUAGGGCCACCAAGGAUCCCACCUCCUGGAAUUCAUACCUUCACUUAAUGCCCUCCCCUUGAAAGUGGGCUGCAUGGAGUGACUCACUUGUAAUGAAAAGAACACAGAAAAGGUGUCGGGAGGUCACUUCUGGAUAGGUUUAUAAGAGACUGUGACUUUUAUCCUGCUCACACUUCUUUCUCUCUUGUCCUCUACCUUGCUUCCCUUGUGCCACGGGGAGGCCCACAUAGCAAAGCAGCCUCUGGCUAAUGGCCAGUAAGGAGCUGAGGCUCUCAGUCCAACAGCCUUUGAAGUGUUGAAUCCUGACAGUAACCAUGCAAGUGGAUCCUUUUCCUGGAAAGCCUUGAGGGUGAAGCUGCUGCCCUUGGGCUCACCUUCCCAGAGCCCCCUGUGCAGACUGCUGGCUAUUAGCAAGAGGGGAUUUGAUGUCCCUCUCAUCUUGGGAUGCAGAUCUUUCAGUUGUGUUUUAUCUUCAAAUAAAAAAGAGAAACUGCUUCCAGAGCCCAGAGGGACCACUGUAACCACAGGAUCACCAUGACCAUCUCUUUGGCCCCAGGAAAGGGCCCACUCAGAUAGCAUCAGACUGGAUGAGGGACUUCCAAAUGGAACAACAUGUUGCUACUGUGUCCUGGAAGGUCCAACUGUCUCCACUUACAAGGGUCUUAUGUAUCUCCAUAAGGUUUGGGAGAAUUGGUUGUGAGAACAAUGUGGAUACUGAUGGAGAAAAUACAAGGUGGGCCAGAGUGGCCAUUGAUUUUCUUCCUUGGGUUUCUGAGAAAGCUUUGCUCCCUAGGCAUCUUUAUCCAGCUUGCUGACCGAAGCAUUAUUCACACUUCUCCUGUGGCCAUGAGGGUGAGACACCUGCUGCUAGGGACUCCAGGCUCCUACCUCUGAAGGACAGUGGACUAAAUUUCUGACAGGGGCCAUGAGACACCUUUGAGGGAAAGAGAUGUAAGAGCUCUGAUCUCUGAGGACAUAAAGGCUCUCACAGGUGCUUGCUUUAGUUAUCACUGCCUUUUAGAUGGCAUUUUCCUUGAGGUUCUAAAUUCUUCAUCAUUCUUCACAGACUGGGAAUGGGCUCAGAGGGGAAGUCAUGCCCCCUUGUGAAGUGUACUAAGGGGUCUUCAGAAGGUCCCACCAUGGCCUCCCACACAGCAAAUGCAUUACCUCUGUCUGUGAAGAAUGGAAAUGUUAUGAAUAUCAUAACAUGAGGGUGAGGGUGAUCUCUGAAAUCCAUUGUGAACAUAGAACUCAAUGGCCAUUAUCAGAGAUAACAAUUGUUGGCAUUAUUCACAUGUGCUUUACGGGCCAUAAAACACACUUGGCAACACAUCUCAUUGGAUUCUCACACUCUCGAUGAGAGGUAGGGAAGGCAUGUAUCAUUCUAAUCUCAUUUUACAGAAGGGAAAAAAGAGGCCCCAGGAGUGAAGCAAUGAGGGGGACACCUUCAUUGCUAUGCUCCUGGAAAAUAGGGGUGCUCUAGGAGCCUCACCCUCUUGUAUUCUAACAGCUGACUGAAAAGAGCCAUCUUUCCCCUGUGACUUACACAUGACUCACAGGUCAUGUGAGUUUCCUUGUUUCCUUGUUUCCCUGUGAAAGGGCCAGACACAGACCCUCCAGAUCCCUGCCUCAUAAGGGAUUAGGUAUUUGACCAGUUGAGACAAAAUACCUGCUAACUUGACUUGGUCACACUCUUACAGAUUUCUCUCCUUCCUGGUUUAACCUUUGAACUUUGAUCUCCUGACCUUGAGUCAGCAUCGGGGUGUGGACCAGCUGCUCUCUGAGAGAGGGCUGAUUUCAGGGAAAGACAUUUCCUGAUUAGCUAUCUGAUCAAGCCAUCCAUUCAUACCACUCCCCACUCCUGGUUCUUCUAGACCAGCUUACUCCCCCCAGGAAAGAAAAUUCCUUUUUGCCCAACCUUUGAGAGGAUCUUAGGUCAGAGUGUUGCAACAGUCUUUUCGAGUGAAGUCCCCCUUCAUCUAAGUCUUUGUAUGUGAUGUGGCACAGGCUAAGGAUCAGAGAAAGCUUCCUGCCACCCAGUCUUGGUCACCCUCAUGGUCUGACUAUUGCACCUGCCAGGGUGGGUGGUUGAAUUGUGGCCCUGACUCUGGGCCCUGCCUACUCCAAACUUGGUUCCCAUGGCUCACUUGGGAGUCUUGCAGCAUGGUGCCUUGCAAAGGUCUCUGGAAUACAGCUCUUUCAUGAGAACCGAGGAGCAAUCUCAAAGGACAUGGGUCCUCCAGGGAAGACUUAUGCUGCUGUGUUUAUAUGGGUGUCUUACGUGAACCUGAGAAUAAGUUGUAUGUGUCCCAUUAAGAAGUGAGUUAAAGGGAGGAAUGGACAGGAAUUUGGGAUGGAAAAAUGAGACAUCUUUCCAGUGGUUAUGUUUUGUUUGAGAUGAAUACCAGGGAUGUCAGGCAUUCUUAUUUGGAGAUGGGUUUAAAAACAAUCCAAAGCAACACUGUUCUGUUCAGCUCAAAGAGCAGUGCUGGAACCACAUGUGCGUCAACAUGCCGUUUAGAGAUGCCAGAGGUACAGAGAUGGACAGACCAUCCUUGCCCUCAAAGGCUUUAUGGUCUCGUGGAGGAUUCAUACAUGGCCCGGACUGGAGAAGCAAAUGCAUAAUUACCCGCAACCUGGGCUUUGGUACUUGGUACUUGGUACUUUUUGGUACUUGGCUAAUGGUCUCAUAACUGUGUAGCUUGUUGGCCUGCUUUUUUUUUUUCCAUGACACCAGCUAUAGUGGAAGGACUUCAUGUAGAAAUUCUGAAUUUUAUUAUUGUAUCACUUUAUAAUGAGGAUAAUCUGUGGGCUUUGCAGCCAGUAGUUCUUUAGCUUGUUGAUUCAUGUGUGUGGCUACAGGUCACCACCUGUCCUGUACUCUCAAGUUUGCUCUGGAGAAAGCUUCUCUAUGAGCCACCUGCAACAUUACCUGCUUUUGUGGCUGGAUUCCUUAAAAUUCAAUAUAUUCUGAAGGAUGUGAUCAAUAAGCAGAUGGUUCAAGCCCAUACACAUGCCAAGAAAUGAGGCAUCUAAUUAGCGGUUAGACCAGGGUGUGAGGCAGUUGCAGAAGGGGGGGGUGGAACCCCUGCCUGGGCUGGGAGACCCCUGGAUAAGACAAUCAGGGCUGGUGGUGUGACAUGUCAACACAAGGUAGUUGUUGGAAGUGAGAACACAGCCUGGACCUUCAGGCUGUGCUCAUUAGGGCUUCACAGAAUUCCCAAUUAUCUUUUGACCUGGCCCUGAGCUAGGCCCCUUUUCAUUGCCCUGAAAAAGGAGUCAAUGGAUCAAAAAGAACACCCAAUUUGAAAUUCUACAUUGGUUUGGCUCUGAAGCUAAGUUGGUAGAACACAGAAAAGGGGCAUUGUCUGCAGCCAGUGACGGUAGCAGGAGGAGGAGAAGCAAGAUGGAGGCAGAGGCAGGUGUCCGCAGUGGGGCAGUUUGGGGCCCUGCACAAAGGUAGGGAAGAGACAGUUUGGGGGAAGAAGCCAACAUACCCCCUGUGAUGAAUCCCUGAGGGAUAGAUAUUUCAGUUAAUCUAUGAGUCCCACUGAACAUGUCAAGAGAGUGAUGACUCCUUUCCAUUCCCAUCCUGUUGUCUCUUGGCUGAGACAGUAACAGAUAAGGACUUUUCUCUCCUCUGCACCUGGGAGAACCCACUGCUGAGUGUCGCCUGGCACCAGAGGAGAGAGCUGAGCUCACUGUGAGCCUCUUGUGACAGGUGGAAUAUACUACUCCCCUGUUGCCAGCCUGAUGUUCCCUAGUUGACUUUUUUGUUGUGUUUCCAGUGUUUUCCCAGGUAGAGCCUACAUGAUGUUUCUAACAUGAAAUGCAGACUCUGAAAGAGAAGAAAGUAUCUGGAGUCUGGUCUAUCCUAUGACAACUGUCCUAAGGCUCCAAUUAAGACAGAGAAGGUUAAGACUGUACCUGUGAGAAGGGAUGUAUCUCUCAAGUCCAUUGACACAGCCUUGUGAACUAGGGUGAGCACCUUGACAACAAAUAAACAUAUUAAAAACAAUGUCAGUGCAACUUUUCUCUUUUUCAAUCUGCUUUCCUUUUUUCCUUGUCAUGCAAGAAGCUGAGAGAAUAAAAUCAACAUUCUUUGGUUCUUGGGCUGGGGAAAAAAGACAAUUGGUUGGAUUCUGGAGGCACACAAGUGACUAUAUCUAAGGUUGUACUAACCAACUACAGGUAAUAAAAUUAUAUUCGUUAUGAUGGUUAAAUUUAUGUGUGUUGACUUGGCAAGGCUAUAGUGCCCAGUUGUUUGGUCAAACACUAGAUAUUGCCAUGAAGGCAUUUUUUUUAGAUGUGAUUCACACUUAAAUCAUCUUUGAGGAAAGCUGAUUACCCUCUAUAAUGUGAGUGAGCCUCAUCCAAUCAAUUGAAGGCAAGAGUGAAGACUCAGGUUUCCAGAAGAAGGAAUUCUGCCUCAAGACUAUAAACAUAGAAAUCUUGCCUGAGUUUCUAGUUUGUAGAUUUUGGAAUCAACAUUAUGACAUCAACUCUUGCUUGAAUUUCUAGUUGCUGGCCUGCCAUUUGGAUUUUGGACUUGUCAUCAACCCCACAUAAUCCCAUGAGCCAGUUCCUUAAACUAAAUCCCCCCCCCCCCGCCCCUCUAUGUAUAUCCUAUUGUCUCUAUUUCUCUG